ensembl:lncRNA
CCAGGCGGAGCCACCACACCCUGGAAGCAGCACUCUCGCAUCUUGGAGUCGGCUCCCUCCAGAAGGGCAGAGGUGUUUCCGGAUGACUCAAGAUCUGCCCCUCCUCCUUAAAUCCCAAGUGAUUAAAAAAACAAACAAACCUGAGACCACCACAGGGAUGGGAAGACAAGCCUCUGAAACACCCAAACAUAUUGGGUGCUUCUGAGGAUUUCAGAAUUUGAAAAGGUCAAAAGACAGAAGCCGAAGGUCAGAAGUGAGGAUGACGAAGCGAAGGCAAGAGGGACAGAUUUCUGUAAAAGCCUCAGAGAGGCAAAACUCAGAAGGACCUGAAAGUUCACCCCAAUGCAAAGAACAGCACAAGGACUGCGGAAAUGCGUCUGGGACAGCCAGGAGGUGUGGAGGAUGGAGCAAGAAGCCUUGGAGAGAGUUUACUUCUGCACAUAAAAAUGUUUGGGGAUUUCACAUGACAAGGUCGGACUUUUCUGGAAAAAUCAGAAUAGCAACGGUAGGACCUGAGUCCUACGGGCAGCAAGUGCCCCCUGCAGGUGGGACCCAGAAUCGCAAGUGUGCCCUGGUCACCACCACUCCCUAUCACACACCCACCCCCAGCCUGAGGUUCUUUGAACACUGGAGUUUUCAACCUCUGAACUGGAAGGCCUUUUAAGUCACCAAAGGUAUCACUUUUCAAUCCAGCCUGAGCUAAGCUCACACUUCUUUAUAUGAGAAAAGCCAGAAAGAAUAGACAAGAGCUCCUUCUCUUGCUAAAAGGCCCCCAAUCGCAGUCUUUACCAAUAAGUG